ACGAACGCUGGCGGCGUGCCUAAUACAUGCAAGUAGAACGCUGAAGAGAGGAGCUUACUCUUCUUGGAUGAGUUGCGAACGGGUGAGUAACGCGUAGGUAACCUGCCUUGUAGCGGGGGAUAACUAUUGGAAACGAUAGCUAAUACCGCAUAACAAUGGAUGACACAUGUCAUUUAUUUGAAAGGGGCAAUUGCUCCACUACAAGAUGGACCUGCGUUGUAUUAGCUAGUAGGUGAGGUAAUGGCUCACCUAGGCGACGAUACAUAGCCGACCUGAGAGGGUGAUCGGCCACACUGGGACUGAGACACGGCCCAGACUCCUACGGGAGGCAGCAGUAGGGAAUCUUCGGCAAUGGGGGCAACCCUGACCGAGCAACGCCGCGUGAGUGAAGAAGGUUUUCGGAUCGUAAAGCUCUGUUGUAAGUCAAGAACGGGUGUGAGAGUGGAAAGUUCGCACUGUGACGGUAGCUUACCAGAAAGGGACGGCUAACUACGUG
rnacentral:rRNA from 1 species